GAUGAACGCUGGCGGCGUGCCUAAUACAUGCAAGUCGAGCGAACAGAUGAGAAGCUUGCUUCUCUGAUGUUAGCGGCGGACGGGUGAGUAACACGUGGGUAACCUACCUAUAAGACUGGGAUAACUCCGGGAAACCGGGGCUAAUACCGGAUAAUAUUUUGAACCGCAUGGUUCGAUAGUGAAAGACGGUUUCGGCUGUCACUUAUAGAUGGACCCGCGCCGUAUUAGCUAGUUGGUAAGGUAACGGCUUACCAAGGCGACGAUACGUAGCCGACCUGGGAGGGUGAUCGGGCACACUGAAACUGAGACACGGUCCGGACUCCUACGGGAGGCAGCAGUAGGGAAUCUUCCGCAAUGGGCGAAAGCCUGACGGAGCAACGCCGCGUGAGUGAUGAAGGUCUUCGGAUCGUAAAACUCUGUUGUUAGGGAAGAACAAAUUUGUUAGUAACUGAACAAGUCUUGACGGUACCUAACCAGAAAGCCACGGCUAACUACGUGCCAGCCGCCGCCGUAA
rnacentral:rRNA from 1 species